UACGGAGGGUGCAAACGUUGCUCGGAAUCAUUGGGCGUAAAGCGCACGUAGGCGGCCCAGCAAGUCGGGUGUGAAAGCCCUCGGCUUAACCGAGGAAGUGCAUUCGAAACUACUGAGCUUGAAUACUGGAGAGGAUCGCGGAAUUCCCGGUGUAGAGGUGAAAUUCGUAGAUAUCGGGAGGAACACCAGUGGCGAAGGCGGCGAUCUGGACAGAUAUUGACGCUGAGGUGCGAAAGCGUGGGGAGCAAACAGG
rnacentral:rRNA from 1 species